AGGAAGGGAAGGAAAGUGCUUGGACGUGCAUGCUGUCCAACUUGGAUCGUUGGAGCGUUUAGGUGUUUUCUUUCUUUUGUUUUCAAUGUCUAAAUUUGUUUAUCUUUGCUUUGUAAGUAUGAGGAACUAAACCCUCCUUAGCUAGGGGGAAUUCGAAACCAUGUUCAUACUUGCAAUAUGAAUUGAUUACCUUCAGUUGUGAUUUCAUAAGUUGUGAAUUCAAUUUGUUUAAUUGCUUGAUUGAUAACUUAUUCGUGUAUAUUUAUUAAGAGUGCACACUUAGUUUGCAUGCAUGAAUAUGAUGAUAGAGUAUAAAGGAGUUUCACCUAAUAGUUCACAAGUAGUGGAGGUCGCUUAUAAACGAUCGCGUUAAAUGAAUUCUUGGCAGGAGUUUCAUGCUCAUCAUAGUAACGAAUGCCUCGUCAAUACUUAUAGUUUUCAUGAUGCUUAAUGAUCUUUGAUUGUAUCUUUAUUGUGCUGUUCACGUAAAGGACUUUUGAAGAAUGCUUGAAUUGUUGUAUGCGUUUUCCCAUCCAAUUCAAUUACUUAAGGAGAACUUGAAGGUUAAUUUAAGCGGACUUAAUUAACCUGGGGUGUUGAGUUUCAUGAUUGAUCAAAAGAACAACUGAAAAUUGGUUUAUGUGCAAGUAUGUCAUGUGUGGAGAAGAACCCUCUAGCUAGCCCAUCAUCCAUAGUUUAACCCAUCACCCAUCAAUUCACCUAAAUUUUUCUAAGAAUAUGUUUAAAUUGUUCUUUCUUUGUUUUCCUUAUUUUCGUCCAAAACCAAAAUCCCCUUUAUUUUAUUAAGUCAUAUUAGUUAGUACGUGUUUUAGAUUGUGUUUUUAAG
rnacentral:lncRNA from 1 species